AUCAACGCUGGCGGCGUGCCUAACACAUGCAAGUCGAAGCGAGAAAGGGCCCUCAGGCCUGAGUAAGAGUCGGCGCACGGGUGAGUAACACGUAGGGUGAUCUACCUUCUGGUGGGGGAAUAACAGUCCGAAAGGCGCUGCUAAUACCGCAUGACGUUCAGCGGUGCAGACCCAUGGGAACAGUUUAAAGCCGGGGGAUCGCAAGACCUCGCGCCUUGAAGAGGAGCCUGCGCCUGGAUUAGCUAGUUGGUGAGGUAACGGCUCACCAAGCUGCGAUCCGUAGCCGGCCUGAGAGGGCGGCGGCCACACUGGACUGAGACACGGCAGACUCCUACGGGAGGCAGCAGUCGGGAAUUGUGCAAUGGGCGCAAGCCUGACGCAGCAACGCCGCGUGAGGAUGAAGUCUUCGGAUGUAAACUUCCAUGACGGGAAGAAUAGAGCGAUUGAAUACCUUCGGAAUGACGGUACCGGUUGAGAAGCUCCGGCUAACUCUGUGCCAGCAGCCGCGGUAAUACGGGGUGGCAAGCGUUGUUCGGAAUUACUGGGCGUAAAGGGCGCGUAGGCGGCCGACUAAGUCAGACUUGAAAUCUCCCAGCUUAACUCAGACUGCAGUCUGAUACUGGCGUGCUAGAGUGCGGAAGGGAACCUGGAAUUCUCAGGUGUAGCGGUGAAAUGCGUAGAUAUCGGAGGAACACCGGGCGAAGGCGGAUUCUGGCCGACACUGACGCUGAUGCGCGAAAGCCAGGGGAGCAACGGGAUUAGAUACCCCGGUAGUCCUGGCCUUAAACGAUGAGUGCUUGGUGUCGAGGUUAUAGAUCCUCGGUGCCGAGCUAACGCAUUAAGCAUCCGCCUGGGGAGUACGGUCGCAAGGCUGAACUCAAGGAAUUGACGGGGACCGCACAAGCGGUGGAGCAUGUGGUUCAAUUCGACGCAACGCGAGGAACCUUACCUGGGCUCGAAAUGCAGCCUGACAUCCGGCGAGAAGCGGCUCUUCCGCAAGGAGCAGUGUAUAGGUGCUGCAUGGCUGUCGUCAGCUCGUGUCGUGAGAUGUUGGGUUAAGUCCCGCAACGAGCGCAACCCUUGUCUCUGUUGCCAUCAGGUUCAGGCUGGGCACUCUGACUGAAGACUGCCGGUGAUAAACCGGAGGAAGGUGGGGAUGACGUCAAGUCAGCAUGGCCUUUAUGUCCAGGGCUACACACGUGCUACAAUGGCCGGUACAAACCGUCGCAAAACCGUAAGGUCGAGCUAAUCGGAGAAAGCCGGUCUCAGUUCGGAUUGCAGGCUGCAACUCGCCUGCAUGAAGUUGGAAUCGCUAGUAAUCGCGGAUCAGCACGCCGCGGUGAAUACGUUCCCGGGCCUUGUACACACCGCCCGUCACAUCACGAAAGCCGGUUGUACUAGAAGUCGCCACACCAACCCGCAAGGGAGGGAGGCGCCUAAGGUAUGGUCGGUGAUUGGGGUG
rnacentral:rRNA from 1 species